rnacentral:rRNA from 1 species
AUAUGAAGGCGGGCUGGAACCUCUCGGGGUUACAGCCUUGCUGAAUUAUUCACCCUUGUCUUUUGCGUACUUCUUGUUUCCUUGGUGGGUUCGCCCACCACUAGGACAAACAUAAACCUUUUGUAAUUGCAAUCAGCGUCAGUAACAAAUUAAUAAUUACAACUUUCAACAACGGAUCUCUUGGUUCUGGCAUCGAUGAAGAACGCAGCGAAAUGCGAUAAGUAGUGUGAAUUGCAGAAUUCAGUGAAUCAUCGAAUCUUUGAACGCACAUUGCGCCCUUUGGUAUUCCAAAGGGCAUGCCUGUUCGAGCGUCAUUUGUACCCUCAAGCUUUGCUUGGUGUUGGGCGUCUUGUCUCUAGCUUUGCUGGAGACUCGCCUUAAAGUAAUUGGCAGCCGGCCUACUGGUUUCGGAGCGCAGCACAAGUCGCACUCUCUAUCAGCAAAGGUCUAGCAUCCAUUAAGCCUUUUUUUCAACUUUUGACCUCGGAUCAGGUAGGGAUACCCGCUGAACUUAAGCAUAUCAA